rnacentral:tRNA from 1 species
GGGGAUGUAACUCAGUGGUAGAGUGCUUGCCUAGCAAGUGUGAGUCCCUGAGUUCCAUCCCCA